rnacentral:rRNA from 1 species
CGGUUAAGUUAGAAAGGGCGCACGGUGGAUGCCUUGGCACUAGGAGCCGAUGAAGGACGGGACGAACACCGAUAUGCUUCGGGGAGCUGUAAGCAAGCUUUGAUCCGGAGAUUUCCGAAUGGGGAAACCCACCACUCGUAAUGGAGUGGUAUCCAUAUCUGAAUACAUAGGAUAUGAGAAGGCAGACCCGGGGAACUGAAACAUCUAAGUACCCGGAGGAAGAGAAAGCAAAUGCGAUUCCCUGAGUAGCGGCGAGCGAAACGGGACCAGCCCAAACCAAGAGGCUUGCCUCUUGGGGUUGUAGGACACUCUGUACGGAGUUACAAAGGAACGAGGUAGAUGAAGAGGUCUGGAAAGGCCCGCCAUAGGAGGUAACAGCCCUGUAGUCAAAACUUCGUUCUCUCCUGAGUGGAUCCUGAGUACGGCGGAACACGUGAAAUUCCGUCGGAAUCCGGGAGGACCAUCUCCCAAGGCUAAAUACUCCCUAGUGACCGAUAGUGAACCAGUACCGUGAGGGAAAGGUGAAAAGCACCCCGGAAGGGGAGUGAAAGAGAUCCUGAAACCGUGUGCCUACAAGUAGUCAGAGCCCGUUAACGGGUGAUGGCGUGCCUUUUGUAGAAUGAACCGGCGAGUUACGAUCCCGUGCAAGGUUAAGCAGAAGAUGCGGAGCCGCAGCGAAAGCGAGUCUGAAUAGGGCGAAUUGAGUACGUGGUCGUAGACCCGAAACCAGGUGAUCUACCCAUGUCCAGGGUGAAGUUCAGGUAACACUGAAUGGAGGCCCGAACCCACGCACGUUGAAAAGUGCGGGGAUGAGGUGUGGGUAGGGGUGAAAUGCCAAUCGAACCUGGAGAUAGCUGGUUCUCUCCGAAAUAGCUUUAGGGCUAGCCUCAAGGUAAGAGUCUCGGAGGUAGAGCACUGAUUGGACUAGGGGCCCCUACCGGGUUACCGAAUUCAGUCAAACUCCGAAUGCCGAUGACUUAUCCUUGGGAGUCAGACUGCGAGUGAUAAGAUCCGUAGUCGAAAGGGAAACAGCCCAGACCGCCAGCUAAGGUCCCAAAGUAUACGUUAAGUGGAAAAGGAUGUGGAGUUGCUUAGACAACCAGGAUGUUGGCUUAGAAGCAGCCACCAUUUAAAGAGUGCGUAAUAGCUCACUGGUCGAGUGACUCUGCGCCGAAAAUGUACCGGGGCUAAACGUAUCACCGAAGCUGCGGACUGUUCUUCGAACAGUGGUAGGAGAGCGUUCUAAGGGCUGCGAAGCAAGACCGGAAGGACUUGUGGAGCGCUUAGAAGUGAGAAUGCCGGUAUGAGUAGCGAAAGAGGGGUGAGAAUCCCCUCCACCGAAUGCCUAAGGUUUCCUGAGGAAGGCUCGUCCGCUCAGGGUUAGUCGGGACCUAAGCCGAGGCCGAAAGGCGUAGGCGAUGGAUAACAGGUUGAUAUUCCUGUACCACCUCCUCACCAUUUGAGCAAUGGGGGGACGCAGGAGGAUAGGGUAAGCGCGGUAUUGGAUAUCCGCGUCCAAGCAGUUAGGCUGGGAAAUAGGCAAAUCCGUUUCCCGUGAAGGCUGAGCUGUGAUGGCGAGCGAAUUAUAGUAGCGAAGUUCCUGAUUCCACACUGCCAAGAAAAGCCUCUAGCGAGGUGAGAGGUGCCCGUACCGCAAACCGACACAGGUAGGCGAGGAGAGAAUCCUAAGGUGAUCGAGAGAACUCUCGUUAAGGAACUCGGCAAAAUGACCCCGUAACUUCGGGAGAAGGGGUGCUCUGUUAGGGUGCAAGCCCGAGAGAGCCGCAGUGAAUAGGCCCAGGCGACUGUUUAGCAAAAACACAGGUCUCUGCGAAGCCGUAAGGCGAAGUAUAGGGGCUGACGCCUGCCCGGUGCUGGAAGGUUAAGAGGAGCGCUUAGCGUAAGCGAAGGUGCGAAUUGAAGCCCCAGUAAACGGCGGCCGUAACUAUAACGGUCCUAAGGUAGCGAAAUUCCUUGUCGGGUAAGUUCCGACCCGCACGAAAGGCGCAACGAUCUGGGCACUGUCUCAACGAGAGACUCGGUGAAAUUAUAGUACCUGUGAAGAUGCAGGUUACCCGCGACAGGACGGAAAGACCCCGUGGAGCUUUACUGCAGCCUGAUAUUGAAUGUUGGUACAGCUUGUACAGGAUAGGUAGGAGCCUUGGAAACCGGAGCGCCAGCUUCGGUGGAGGCAUCGGUGGGAUACUACCCUGGCUGUAUUGACCUUCUAACCCGCCGCCCUUAUCGGGCGGGGAGACAGUGUCAGGUGGGCAGUUUGACUGGGGCGGUCGCCUCCUAAAAGGUAACGGAGGCGCCCAAAGGUUCCCUCAGAAUGGUUGGAAAUCAUUCGCAGAGUGUAAAGGCACAAGGGAGCUUGACUGCGAGACCUACAAGUCGAGCAGGGACGAAAGUCGGGCUUAGUGAUCCGGUGGUUCCGCAUGGAAGGGCCAUCGCUCAACGGAUAAAAGCUACCCCGGGGAUAACAGGCUUAUCUCCCCCAAGAGUCCACAUCGACGGGGAGGUUUGGCACCUCGAUGUCGGCUCAUCGCAUCCUGGGGCUGUAGUCGGUCCCAAGGGUUGGGCUGUUCGCCCAUUAAAGCGGUACGCGAGCUGGGUUCAGAACGUCGUGAGACAGUUCGGUCCCUAUCCGUCGCGGGCGCAGGAAAUUUGAGAGGAGCUGUCCUUAGUACGAGAGGACCGGGAUGGACGCACCGCUGGUGUACCAGUUGUUCUGCCAAGGGCAUCGCUGGGUAGCUAUGUGCGGACGGGAUAAGUGCUGAAAGCAUCUAAGCAUGAAGCCCCCCUCAAGAUGAGAUUUCCCAUUCCGCAAGGAAGUAAGAUCCCUGAAAGAUGAUCAGGUUGAUAGGUCUGAGGUGGAAGUGUGGCGACACAUGGAGCUGACAGAUACUAAUCGAUCGAGGACUUAACCAAUUU